rnacentral:tRNA from 1 species
GGCCCGGUAGCUCAGUGGUAGAGCGCUGCCCUGAAGAGGCAGGCGUCGCCAGUUCAAUUCUGGCCUGGGCCACCA